rnacentral:rRNA from 1 species
CGAUGGUUCAUUCAAAUUUCUGCCCUAUCAACUUUCGAUGGUAAGAUAGAGGCUUACCAUGGUGUCGACGGGUAACGGGGAAUUAGGGUUCGAUUCCGGAGAGGGAGCCUGAGAAACGGCUACCACAUCCAAGGAAGGCAGCAGGCGCGCAAAUUACCCAAUCCCAAUACGGGGAGGUAGUGACAAUAAAUAACAAUAUAGGGCUCUUUCGGGUCUUAUAAUUGGAAUGAGUACAAUUUAAAUCUCUUAACGAGGAACAAUUGGAGGGCAAGUCUGGUGCCAGCAGCCGCGGUAAUUCCAGCUCCAAUAGCGUAUAUUAAAGUUGUUGCAGUUAAAAAGCUCGUAGUUGAACUUCAGACCUGGUCGAGUGGUCCGCCUAACGGUGUGUACUGCUUGACUGGGCCUUACCUCUUGGUGAGCCGGCGUGCCCUUUAUUGGUGUGCGUCGGGGAACCAGGACUUUUACCUUGAGAAAAUUAGAGUGUUCAAAGCAGGCCUAUGCCCGAAUACAUUAGCAUGGAAUAAUAGA